GUCGAGCUCGUGCUCAACCUCGCCGACAGUGUCCUCCAUGGUCAGUGCAUGCAUGUAUAACUCGUUGCCAGCGUGGUUGCUCGCGACACGCGCGUGCACGCACUGCGUGCCAUCAGAAUCAGAGCAGGCAGUGCAAAGUACAGUAGAAGAGAACUCGGUGUGUGUUUGACGCAGUUCCCCGUUGUUCUACCGUGGCCGGCCGCGCAUGCAGGGCGGAUGGAGUAUCCUGACAGGUCGUCGCCGGCGUACCGGUCGGUGACGGGGCUCAUCGACCGGAGGGUCGAUCUGGACCGGAGCAUCAAACCGACGGACAGCCGGUUCGACGCCGCGCUCUGCGUCAUGGCGUCCAAACUGGCGUACGAGAACGAGGCGUUCAUCCGCGACGUGGUCACGAGGCACUGGCAGGUAACGUGCACUUAAGGGCAUGCUCCCACCCUCUCCACCACUGGAUUCGCAUUGAGAAGUGUGCAAACACUGUCUCUUAUACACAUCUCAACCUGAAGUGCAAACACACAUCUCAAAGCAGAUUCGCAUUGAGAUGUGUGUUUGCACACUUCUCAAUGCGAAUCCAGUGGUAGAGAGAGUGGGAGCACAUGCCUUAAGGGCAAAAUUAACUUUCCCAAGCCCUCCUUUUUCAUCCGGUCGAGUUUGAAAGAAGAUCUGAUCGAAACGGCCGCACGCACUGUGGCGCGUGCAGAUGGAGUUCGUGCGUUUCUACAACUGCUGGAACGGUAAGAUCGACGACGUUGCUGCUGCUGCUGUGUGUGUGUGUGUGUUCGCACUUGCAUUGCAACAAGCCGACAUUCUUGAUUCUUCUCGGUGCCUUGCAGAGUUCCGGAACGCGUACACGGUGCAGGCGUUCGUGUUCUGCGACAAGCCGGCGCCGGACGCGGAGCUGCUGGUGGUGGCGUUCCGCGGGACGAGGCCGUUCGACGCGGCCGGGUGGUGCGCCGACCUGGACCCGUCGUGGUACAAGAUCCCCCGCCUCGGCCGCGCGCACGCCGCCUACACCCACGCGCUCGGCGCGCAGCGCAACAUCGGCUGGCCCAAGCCCAAGUGGGUCGAGCACAUCAAGGGCAAGCCACAGAAGGUACUGGUCUUGGAUCGCUUCGUCGUCGUCGUCGUCGUCAUCACGCCGGCGACGCUGAUCGAUGAGCAUGCACUGAUUUCCGCAUGCAUGCCGGCCCGCAGGUGUACGCGUACUACACGAUCCGGGACACGGUGAAGGAGCUGCUGGAGGCGAACACGAAGGCGCGGCUGCUGGUGACGGGGCACGGGUCGGGCGGCGCGCUGGCGGUGCUGUUCCCGGCGAUCCUGGCAUACCACAAGGAGAAGGCGGUGCUGGACCGGGUGGCGGGGGUGUACACGUUCGCGCAGCCGCGCGUCGGCGACGCCAUGCUCGGCAUGUUCGUGGAGAGGAACCUGGACCGCCCCCGGAAGCGCCACUUCCGGAUCGCCUACGGCGACGACUCGCUGCCGCGGCUGCCCAACGAGAGCUCCGCCGUCCAUUUCCUGCAUUUCGGGCUUGGCCUCCACUUCGACAAAUCUUACAAGCUCAAGGUGUGAUUGGUUUGCCAAUUUCUAUUACUUUUUUUUUUCACUUUUUUCUCAUUAUCGAAGUUUUUUUUCAACAAUAUAUAUAAUUUGCAUGAAACCAGACCACUGACUGAGCUGCUAGCCUGCUACUGCUAGUUCCAUUUGCAUUCAUUUUCAUGUCCUUGCAAUUGCAAAUUUGCAAUGCAUGCAUGCAGGUGUUGAGGGAGAUCCCGGGAGAGGAGGCCUCCUCGUCGGUGGUGGACGCGGUGACGAGCCGCGUGAGCUCGGCGUGGGAGCUGGGCCGCUGCGUGUACCUGGGCUACCAGCACGGCGCCUACUUCCGGGAGGGGUGGUUGCUGCUGCUGAUGCGGGUGCUGGCGGUGGCGCUGCCGGGCCUGCCGUUCCACAGGGUGCAGGACUACGUCAACGCCAUGGUUCUGGGAGACUACAUUCCCAAGGAUAACUGAUGGACGUCUCUGAUGACUGAUGAGUCGUCACACGUCAGUGCAUGCAUUUCAAUCAACCUGAAUCUGAUCGCCCGUCCAUGAAUGAACAGUAUGCAGUAUGCAGAACUGCAACGACUACAGUGACAUCACCUCCAUCAGACCGAUCACCGAAGCUAUGGGAUGUACAGUAAUGUUUUAACGUACUAUUAGUAGUAAUUAAGUAAGCGGACUGCUACCGUAUGCAUGUGAGCAUUUGCUAUGUAUCGAACUAUGAACAAAGUAAGUGUAGAAGCCAAUAAAUAAAUAAAGUAUGUGCACAGUUAAGCGUAAAUGAACUAAAGAGUUGUACGCUGUCUUUACAACAAACGUCACACAAACCUUUUGGGAUGUUUUACAGCCUUAUUACAGGUAUAGUAUAUUGGAUAACCCUUAGGGCCUGUUCAGUUAUCAGAGAUAUUGGACACUGGAAACAAAAACUUGAAAUGUUGUGCUAAUUUCUACUAACUUUGAUCACAGGGAAUGAUUCCCCGGAAGGAAUUAUGCCUAAACGAACGAGGCCUUAAUGUGCCAGCCUUCAGGAUUCUGGAACUGAGAGAAUAAAUGAACUGUGGUUGAAACGAACUGAAAGGUGGUACCGGAGUCUACCAGAGAGCCACCAAAUCUCCCCCCUAUAAUAACAUUGUUCUUUGAUAAAGAAAAAGAUUACUUACUACCAAAACAAAUCUUCUGGGAUACUUUUGUUUGUCAUGGCGCAUGAAACAGAUCAAUGACAAUGCAUAAUAUGAUCGAUUACCUCUGAAUUUUAGCAAUCUCCAUGAAAUCAGACCACUGUUCUGCAACCUCGACCUGCGUUCGCAUGCAGGACAGUACUGUGACGACUGACGAGGCGCAUCUGAUCGAUCAACUCGGCGCCACCGUCAGAGACCCCUGCUUUCAGUCUCAGUCAUCAGCUGAGUGCUGGUCGUCGACGUCGAUGCCUAUACAAUAUGCAGAAAACAGUCGCAGUCUUACAUGCUGAGGUCGUGCAGUGCAGGGGCCUUGCAACUGCGACUACAUUGACGUUACCUUCAUCGACCGAUGCUACGCGAAAUUGUUUACUACUGUACUGGUACGUAGUACGUAAUUACGUAAGGCAUGAGCAUUAUAGAUACACAUAACACUGCUUCCGUGUGAUCAUUUCCUGUGUGAGCAAGCAAGUGCACAAGGCCAGAAGCUAAAUAAAAGUAUGUGCUCAUUAAGCAUAAGUAAACCAUUGUUAUCUAAAAAAACUAAGCAUAAGUAGACUAGAAUCUCUAGUGUUUUAUACUGCCAUUGCCUGCCGGUAUAGAUUAUGCAGUGGCGCUUUCCUUCUGUGACAAAAACUGUUCUAUUGUGAUCUGUCCACUGGCCUGGGGCUACAUGGGCUUUCGAAAGCCCAUCACCUGCCACGAGAAAGGCCGCACAAGAGGUACUGGGCUGUCCAGGCCAGUCCGUGCCUGCGUACGUCUGGGCCGGACCGCAUGUGCUCCUGAUCAAUACGCAAAUCUCCUGUUCUUAAAGGGGGCGAGUGCAAACCCACAUAAAGCGAGAUGGGUAUCUGGAUAGAGGCUUUGCCGCUCACAGUCACAGCCUCACAGGAGGUCGCUGCGGUGGUUCAGUACUUCAGUUCGCCAUGGAAGGUGCAGUCGGCCAAAUGGUCGUCCCGGUCCUCGGCAUCGUUGCCGCGGCCGCCGUGACCUUCUACACCGUCAGCUUCAUGGAGAUGCGAGACGUACGCUUUGCUGUUCCCUCUCUCUAUAUCUCUGUCUGAUGUGUUGGUUUCCCAUUCCAUUUCAACGCUGCGAUUACGGUCACCAUGCAACUUACGAUUUGCAGAAAUCUUUCGAGGAGCUCGACGAGAAGUACUCGGAGCUCGACGAGUCAGGCGGACGGCAGCGCCGGUCUCGCCGGAGGGCCGAGCGCGACAGGAAGAGAGCGAAAUGAUUGACCACCACACACACCGCCGAUCUUAUGAAUUUGUUGAUUUGGAGAUAUGCCGGUUAAUUCAUAGGGGUGAGUGUGCAUGUACCUACUGAAGCAGCUAAAACGAUGGAUUUGUUUAAACGACUCCAUAUAUAAUGUACCCUCUGCUGUUCUUCGGUUCUAUCAGGACUUGUAAAACAAAUUUCCCCUAAAUUGCUUCGAUUCUAGAUUGAGUGUUCUCAACGCCAAAUUUCCAUUAGCAUACAUGCGUUCGAUAUAUUUCGGAAAAGUUGAAAACUAAAAAGCACUUCCGUGUAGAUGGAGUUCGUGCGUUUCAAUUAAUAAUACAUGGAAUAGUAAAACCCAAGAACACUACGCAAGAGAGCACAUAUUAAUAAGGCCCCUUUUAGGUUGCAGGACUUCUACAUGUUAGUGCUACGUUUUCCCUAUAAAAAUAAAUUGAUUCAUGUGAAAAUCUUACAUGUAAAAAGUCGUCCUGCCUUCCAAAUUAAAGGGGAUACGAACGAACGAAGAAGAAUGCUGAAGAUGAAGAGACCCGCAGGAUACCAAAGAUGGCGUGAGGCAUUUCAAGGAGGCUUUGGGAUGAAUAUAUAUACGUACUCGCGAAGAGCUGGGGGCCAUCGAGACCGAAGCGAGCGCAUUUCCAAAAAUCAUCACCAGGAUUCAGAAUAGGGAUGUAGUAGCAACAGAACGUCACUAUGCCCUUUUUGUUUUGUAGAAAUACCAUGAUAUCGAUAAAAUUGUUUUUUCAUAGACACCCAA
rnacentral:lncRNA from 1 species